GAGGACGGCUCCACCUGCCUGCACCACGCGGCCAAGAACGGGAACCUGGAGAUGGUGGAGCUGCUGCUGGGAACCGGCCAGGUGGACGUCAACGCCCAGGACAACGGCGGCUGGACCCCGAUCAUUUGGGCGGCCGAGCACAAACACAUCGAGGUCAUUCGGCGACUGCUGACCCGAGGGGCCGACGUCACCCUGACCGACAACGAGGAGAACAUCUGCCUGCACUGGGCGAGGUUC